UGUGUCGCGCGGCUGCUUCCACCUGCUGAGGUAGCCUACCUGUGACCUCUGCUGUUUAAGUAGCAUCUGGUGAUUAAACUCGCCUCCUAAAGUCUGAUAUGUUACUUCUGGACACGUUGGAUAUAAUAAUAAAUCCCCUACUAGUCUUCUGCCCUGCCCAGACGAAAUGAUGGAACAGGAGAAAACAUGGCGGCUGUUCAGAAAAAACUACCACAGUAAGCUGUGAGAUGAAAAACUACGGACAAACGGGCGCCUCCUGCGGUUCAUAAGAGGCGACACACCUACAACACGCCAUCAAGGGUGUAAAUAACAAUCUGGGACUGAUGAUGGAGAUUGGCGAGGAAAAUCUCCCUGCGACGUCCGAGAUGGCUGGUAAUGAGCAGCUGUCUGUCAGUUGAUUAGCAAAUCCAUUUCAGAACAAAUUAUGGCUCAGACCAUCACACAACAUAAAGCUACGGAGAGGAAAAAAUCCACCUUGUCACUACUGCAAAGCCCCAUCACCAAGGGACUAAUAUUGGUCAUAAAAUACAAAAUCCUACAGCUGGCACCUGUAAGAGCAGACGGAAAUUAUGUUUUCAUCUAGAUGGCGUUUGGAUGGUAUUUUUUUUUUUUUCCUGGAUGCUCUCCACCUCUUGAAUUUUAAUCCUCCCUGCUUGUUUGGUGAGAAAUAGAUGAGUGAGAAAUAGACGGAAGGAAAGUGAUAGGAAGAGACAAGUACUGUAUGUAAAUGUGGUCGUGCCAGUAGAGCUUUUUUAUUUUGCUUUGAAAAUAAACACCCAAGUUGAAACAAACGGA